AGUGAACGCUGGCGGUAGGCCUAACACAUGCAAGUCGAACGGCAGCACAGUAAGAGCUUGCUCUUACGGGUGGCGAGUGGCGGACGGGUGAGGAAUACAUCGGAAUCUACUUUUUCGUGGGGGAUAACGUAGGGAAACUUACGCUAAUACCGCAUACGACCUACGGGUGAAAGCAGGGGAUCUUCGGACCUUGCGCGAUUGAAUGAGCCGAUGUCGGAUUAGCUAGUGGGCGGGGUAAAGGCCCACCAAGGCGACGAUCCGUAGCUGGUCUGAGAGGUUGAUCAGCCAAACUGAAACUGAGACACGUCCCAGACCCCUACGGGAGGCAGCAGGGGGAAAUAUUGGACAAGGGGCGCAAGCCUGAUCCAGCCAUACCGCGGGGGUGAAGAAGGCCUUCGGGUUGUAAAGCCCUUUUGUUGGGAAAGAAAAGCAGCAGGUUAAUACCCCGCUGUUCUGACGGUACCCAAAGAAUAAGCACCGGCUAACUUCGU
rnacentral:rRNA from 1 species